rnacentral:rRNA from 1 species
GUGGGGAAUCUUAGACAAUGGGCGCAAGCCUGAUCUAGCCAUGCCGCGUGAGCGAUGAAGGCCUUAGGGUUGUAAAGCUCUUUCGUGGGGGAAGAUAAUGACUGUACCCCAAGAAGAAGCCCCGGCUAACUCCGUGCCAGCAGCCGCGGUAAUACGGAGGGGGCUAGCGUUGUUCGGAAUUACUGGGCGUAAAGCGCACGUAGGCGGACUGGAAAGUCAGGGGUGAAAUCCCGGGGCUCAACCCCGGAACUGCCUUUGAAACUCCCAGUCUUGAGUUCGAGAGAGGUGAGUGGAAUUCCGAGUGUAGAGGUGAAAUUCGUAGAUAUUCGGAGGAACACCAGUGGCGAAGGUGGCUCACUGGCUCGAUACUGACGCUGAGGUGCGAAAGCGUGGGGAGCAAACAGGAUUAGAUACCCGUGUAGUCC